ensembl:lncRNA
AAUCCAAAAAAGCAAUGGAGGAUUUCCCUUGAGACAGAGCAUGCGCUGUUUAUCCACAUGAGAUGACUACUCAACACUGUUUUCCUUUGUCAUAAAUGCAGAUGUGGAAUAAACCUGCUGUUACCACAAACCUGACGGUGUCCGAGAGAGUAUAUCAGGCAGAAGACAUUACACAGAGGUUACAUUGGUGCCGUGACUCGUCCAUGACUACGCCGGACCGGGACUGAUGUUUUCUUGCCGCUGCAUCGUUGUGGAACUGCACUUCCUCCAUCAGUGUAUUUGACUGGCAGAGCAUGCGCUGUUUAUCCACAUGAGAUGACUACUCAACACUGUUUUCCUUUGUCAUAAAUGCAG